CAGUGUCCCAACUCCUAUACCUAAAGGUCUGAGCAAUGAAGAUGUGGAUGUUUACCCUGAGGGCAGUUGGGAGUUAACCACAUUGCUGUGGGUCUGGAGUCACAUGUUGGCCAGACCGGGAUGAGGCUGUCACUGGCUCGGCCAGCAUU